UACGUGACUGUAAGUGUGUUUGUGAAAAUUAUGUUGGUACGAGUUUUGCAUGCAAAAAUAUUUUUUUAACUGAACAGUUAAUUUAUGAAUUGUUUCAAGUAUAUUUAUAAAUAAUUUUACUUGAGAUUCAUUUGGUAUCAGCGCGCACAAUUUCGCAGCGAGAUUCUCAGCCAUAUUUUAAAGUUUAUUAAGUCGUGUGAUUAUAAACAAGUGUCAUUACUUAUUGCAUCAAAAUCUGCCCAAGAAAUACAAAAAGAAAUCUUCAUUAUUAACUAAAUUUUCCCUCGAGUCAGCUCAGUUCAAUUUUCAUCCGUCAGAGGGAAUUACUUGCGGUACUUAUGCGUCUUAUGUCACUCGUAUUUUGUUACGAACUUCGUAAUCAACAAUUUAAAUAGUUUUUUUAAUUAAUAAAUAAACAAUAACAUUUUAAAUAAAACCAUUGAAUAACAAUAGAAACAACUAAUUAUUCGAAAAUUUUCUCAAAGCAGCUUCCUGGCUUAGGAGUAAAGCCACCAUUCCUCCAUGAUCUUCACGAGCAGCUUCCAUUAAUGGUCUGGAUCCCUCGGUGCAAUCUUGCCAUCUCCUUUGAUGUCUUUAUCUUCGAUGUUGGAGUUUGUUGCUAAUUCUUCAGUAGUUUCGUGGACACUACUUUCUUCAGUUACCAUUUUUUCUUCAAAUUCACGUGGAUUUUCCCUUCUCAUCUUCUCCAAUUCAGCAGAGGCUUCGUCUAGCGCAUUGGAGACGUGAGACGUUAAUCUCCUCAAUACUUCGUGGUCUGUUAAAUACUUCCCAUCAAUCGGUUUAUUCAAUUCACCCAGUCCUGCAGCUCCCAAGAGCGCAUUUAAUCUUGCUUGCGCGUCUAGAUUAUUGGCUGAUAUAAACUGUGAUGGUUUAAAACUAUUGCGGUGCUGUUCCAUUGUGGCUUGUUUGAUUGUAGUACGAAAUAUAUCCGGAAAA